UACGUAGGGGGGCAAGCGUUUGUCCGGAUUUAUUGGGCGUAAAGAGCUCGUAGGCGGCUUGUUACGUCGGCUGUGAAAACCCGCGGCUCAACCGCGGGCCUGCGAGCCGAUACGGGCAGGCUAGAGUUCGGUAGGGGAGACUGGAAUUCCUGGUGGUAGCGGUGAAAUGCGCAGAUAUCAGGAGGAACACCAAUAGCGAAGGCAGCUCGCUGGGACGGUACUGACGCUAAGGCGCGAAAGCGUGGGGACGAACGAG
rnacentral:rRNA from 1 species